UGUAAAUUGGGGGACCUAUAUGUAAAUAUAGAAAUUACAAGGACUAAACUGCUAAGUUGCAAAAAGAAAAAAAAAAGAAAAGGAAAAACCGAAAAUUCGGUAUUAUCCCACCGCCUCCCACGCACUCUGUUUCUUUCCAGAAACAGAGAGAGCGGUGGGGCGUGAGGAGAAGAAGGAGAGUGGUUGAAGAAAAGAAGAAGAAGAGGGAAAAGAAGAGAGGAGGAAGAAGAGAGGAAGAAGAGGGAGAAGAGAAGAAGAUGAAGAAGAAGAAGAAGAAGAAGAAGAAGAGAGGAUGAUAGCUGCGGCAAGGCUGCAGCGAGGAGGUGUGUGGGGUUGGGGAGGAAAAGGGAAGAGGAGAAGAAAAGAAGGAGAAGAAGAGGGAAAAGAGAGGGAAGAGGGAGAGGAGCGAGAGGUGGCAGCAGCUAGGGCUGCAGCACCUCUGUUUCCUGCAGGUGGAAACAGAGGAGAGGUGGGGCGUUCGAAGAGGAGAAGAAGAAGAAGAAGGAAGAGAAGAGGAAGAGGAAGCAGGAGAAGAGGUUGUGAUACCUCUGUUUCCUGCAGAGGAAACAGAGGAGAGGGUGUGUGUGACGUCGGGGAGAAGAAGGGGAGGAAGGAGAAGAAGAGAAGAAGAAGAAAGGAAGGAGAGGAAGAAGAGAAGGGAAAGGAGGAGCUGCGGCUGCGACAGUGGCAGUUGCAGCUGGAAGAGAAGGAGAGGAAGAGAUGGUGAGGAAGAAGAGAAGAAGUAGAAGCGGGUGAAGAGGCGGCACCUCUGUUUCCUGCAGGAGGAAACAGAGGAAAGGAGGUGCUGUUCGUCGGGGAGAAGAAGGGGGCUGCAGCUGCGGCGAUGGCAGCUGCAGCUGGAAGAGAAGAAGAAGAGGAAGAUGAGCAGGGGAGGAGGGAGAGGUUGCGGCCGUGGCUGCGGCCGCGACUGCAGCAGUUGCAGCGGGGAGAGAAGAAGAAGAAUGGAAGGAGAGGGAAGAGGAGAAGGGAAAGAAGUAGCUGCGGCUACGGUUGUGGCAGCUGCAGCUGUGGCAGGGAAAGAGGAAGAGAAAAAGGAAAGGAAGAAGAAGAGAAAGGGAAGGAGAGGAAGAAGAGAGGAAGAGGAGAAGGGGCUGCGGCUGCGGCGAUGGCAGCUGCAGCUGUGGCUGGGAAAGAAGAGAAGGAAAGGAAGAAGAAGAGAAAGGGAAGGAGAGGAAGAAGAGAGGAAGAGGAGAAGGGGUGGCAGCUGCGGCAGUGGCAGCUGCAGCUGGAAGAGGAGGAGGAAAUAGAGCAGGGGAGGAAGAAGAGGCUGCGAGUGUGGUGGCUGCGGCCGUGGCUGCGACUCCGGCUGCGGCUGCGACGUUGGCUGCGGCAGCGGUGGUGGCUGCAGUAGCUGCAGUAGCUGCUUUUGGGAAAGAGAAAGAGUAGGAACGAGAGAAGGGAAGAAGGAAAUAGUGCAGUGGAAGGGGGCUGCGGUUGUGACCGCAGUUGCGAUUGUGGCAGCUGCGGCGGCUGUGGCAGCUGCGUUUGGGAAAGAAAAAGAAGGAAUGAGAGUAAGAGAGAGCAGGUGACUGUGCCUCGAUGUUCGACACGUGGUGUAGUUGCGAAGAAAGGAAGAAAACGGGAGCACAAAACGAAACAGAGAGAGGACACGGAGGAAAAGUAGAAGGAUUUGGGCUGGCACCUUCUUUGGAUCUUCGGAUCGAAAUCUUUGAAAGGUCAGCUUGUUACUCUUCGAGAUGUUUGAUUUGGGCUGAGGCAGUGGAUAGCUAUUCAGAAUGAUGGGCAAGUCUGGUUGGUUAUUACGAUAUUGUUGUAUAAGUAUGUUUUGUAUGUAAUGAAAUGUUGUCGAUGAACCGAAAUGGAUAUACUGUGUCAAAGUGUUAGGAGAUAUCUCUUAUUUGGAAUUUCUGAAUGUUAAGCCUAAUUUAUAAUGAUAUGAACUUGUGGUGAAUAGUUAGAGUUCUGAUUGUAUAAAUUAUUUAGCUUGUGGAUUUAUAAAUAUUGUUCAUGUUUGUCAAGUUGGCUUGGGUUGCCAUAAAUGUGAAUUAUUGAGUGAUGUGAUAUAUGAUUAUAAACUGCACAGGUUUUAUGGAUGUGAAUAUGAAUAGAAUGUUUUUCAAUGUCCUCAAACGUUAGUUUGGAUCCUGGAUUGGUCUGUGAUGAAAAAUUUUAAAAAUCAUGGAUAUUUUGAGGGGCGUGACAGAGGUGGUAUCAGAGCAUUGUUUGAGGAUUACUGAAAUAUUUGAUAUGUUGACGUGCAAAAUAUAUUGAGGUCUAAUGAACUAUAGUGAUUGGUGGAAAUUUUCUUUGAUGUAUUUUAGGAAUCUGGGAUGAUGAGGAUAUUUGGUCCUCCUAUUUCAUUGUUUCUUAUUAAUUAAGGGGAAUGAAAGGAUUGAUUGGGGAUAUUGAAUCAGAGUGGCGCAGCGGAAGCAUGGUGGACCUAACUUCAUUGGUGGUAGAAAAAUGAAUGAUGCAAACAGAGAAGAUAUUUGAUGUACAAAAUUGUUUUGAUGAUCAAAAGAUUUCUUUUGCCACGUUAUAUUAGAAGUAAAGACUUAUUAUUGACGGCAACAAUGAAAAGAAUUUUUGAAGAUCAAUGGCAAGAAUGACAAGAACAAGUUUACCAAUAAAAAUAUGAUUGGAAAUGAAUCAAUAAGUAACAACAAGAGAGUCAAGACAUUUUGAUUUGAAAUGGGAAGUCACCACAAAAGACUCAAUCAGGUGUGAAUUGCAAGUUAAAUUAUGAAACAAGUUUAUGUUUGUGCGUGACUAGAGCCUAUUUUGCUUAUGGAAAGUUUGAUCAUAAAAUAAAAGUUUGCCCUUUGAACAAGAAGAAAGAGUCACUGCCUCCUAAAUCAUCAGCCCAUGUCAGAGUGUAUGCUAUCACUGAAUAUGAUUCUAAGACUUCUGAAUUAGUGGUCGAAGGUAUUAUGUAUGUUUAUGAAAGAAUGCAAAUAUUUGUUUGAACAUGGGUUCUAUCUACGAUUUGAUUCGUAACAUAUUGCCUAUCACUUGGGUAUUCAACCUAGACCACUGUAUUAUGUGAUAUAUGUAAGUACAAUCAUUGGAGAUUCUUUGAUAAUGAACUUGAAUCUGGUCCUCUUGUCUGAUUUUUGUUGGAGAACUUGAACUUUUGCUGAUUUAGUUCUCCUAGAGAUUUGGAGUUAUGAUAUUAUACUUGGUAUGCAUUGGCUAUCUUCUUAUCAUACCUGUAUGGAUUGGUAUAUAACAAAUGAUCACUUUUUGCAUAUUUGAUCAGCCGAUCUUUUAUUUUGAGAGUAUUGGACAUUAUUUAUCUCCUUGCCUAAUGUAUCCCAGGAUGACUUGUUUGGAUUACCUCCAAAUGUGAUUUUGCUUUUGAUUUGGUCCUUGGGACAAUCCUAAAAUCUAAGCCUCUCUACAGAAAGAUAUCAUUUGAGUAAGUGGAAUUAGAAAAGCAACUACAAGGAUUAUUAAAUGAGGAUUUUAUUUGGCUUAAUAUUUCAUCAUGGGGUGCUCCGGUGUUAGUUAAAAGAUGGAUGGAACAUUGAGGCUUUGUAUUGAUUAUAGAUAGUUGAAUUAGGUGACCAUCAAAAAACGAGUAUUUUCUAAAGUGACCACUUGUUUGAUUAACUGUAGGGUGCACAGGUAUUUUAAAAGAUUGUUUGAAGGUCGGGUUACCAUCUAUUGAGGAUCAAGGAGGAGAAUAUUUCGGUCACUCUUGGAAAAUUGUGUAAUUGUAUUGAAUUGAUGAAAUUAUUUAAGAGUAGGAGGAGGAAAUAAAGAAAUCAUAAUCCUCAUCUUUUCAUCGAUUGAGCUAUGACCAAUUUAGAGGACUAAAUUUUCUUUUAAGGGGGGGAGAGUGUAAAAUCCCCCACUUUUAAAAAUGUAUUAAUAAGGAUUUAUAUGUAAAUUGGGGGACCUAUAUGUAAAUAUAGAAAUUACAAGGACUAAACUGCUAAGUUGCAAAAAGAAAAAAAAAAGAAAAGGAAAAACCGAAAAUUCGGUAUUAUCCCACCGCCUCCCAAGCACUCUGUUUCUUUCCAGAAAUAGAGAGAGCGGUGGGGCGUGAGGAGAAGAAGGAGAGUGGUUGAAGAAAAGAAGAAGAAGAGGGAAAAGAAGAGAGGAGGAAGAAGAGAGGAAGAAGAGAGGAAGAAGAGGGAGAAGAGAAGAAGAUGAAGAAGAAGAAGAAGAAGAAGAAGAAGAGAGGAUGAUAGCUGCGGCAAGGCUGCAGCGAGGAGGUGUGUGGGGUUGGGGAGGAAAAGGGAAGAGGAGAAGAAAAGAAGGAGAAGAAGAGGGAAAAGAGAGGGAAGAGGGAGAGGAGCGAGAGGCGGCAGCAGCUAGGGCUGCAGCACCUCUGUUUCCUGCAGGUGGAAACAGAGGAGAGGUGGGGCGUUCGAAGAGGAGAAGAAGAAGAAGAAGGAAGAGAAGAGGAAGAGGAAGCAGGAGAAGAGGUUGUGAUACCUCUGUUUCCUGCAGAGGAAACAGAGGAGAGGGUGUGUGUGACGUCGGGGAGAAGAAGGGGAGGAAGGAGAAGAAGAGAAGAAGAAGAAAGGAAGGAGAGGAAGAAGAGAAGGGAAAGGAGGAGCUGCGGCUGCGGCGGUGGCAGCUGCAGCUGGAAGAGAAGGAGAGGAAGAGAUGGUGAGGAAGAAGAGAAGAAGUAGAAGCGGGUGAAGAGGCGGCACCUCUGUUUCCUGCAGGAGGAAACAGAGGAAAGGAGGUGCUGUUCGUCGGGGAGAAGAAGGGGGCUGCAGCUGCGGCGAUGGCAGCUGCAGCUGGAAGAGAAGAAGAAGAGGAAGAUGAGCAGGGGAGGAGGGAGAGGUUGCGGCCAUGCCUGCGGCCGCGACUGCAGCAGUUGCAGCGGGGAGAGAAGAAGAAGAAAGGAAGGAGAAGGAAGAGGAGAAGGGAAAGAAGUAGCUGCGGCUGCGGUUGUGGCAGCUGCAGCUGUGGCAGGGAAAGAGGAAGAGAAAAAGGAAAGGAAGAAGAAGAGAAAGGGAAGGAGAGGAAGAAGAGAGGAAGAGGAGAAGGGGUGGCAGCUGCGGUAGUGGCAGCUGUAGCUGGAAGAGGAGGAGGAAAUAGAGCAGGGGAGGAAGAAGUGGCUGCGAGUGUGGUGGCUGCGGCCGUGGCUGCGACUCCGGCUGCGGCUGCGACGUUGGCUGCGGCAGCGGUGGUGGCUGCAGUAGCUGCAGUAGCUGCUUUUGGGAAAGAGAAAGAGUAGGAACGAGAGAAGGGAAGAAGGAAAUAGUGUAGUGGAUGGGGGCUGCGGUUGUGACCGCAGUUGCGAUUGUGGCAGCGGCGGCGGCUGUGGCAGCUGCGUUUGGGAAAGAAAAAGAAGGAAUGAGAGUAAGAGAGAGCAGGUGACUGUGCCUCGAUGUUCGACACGUGGUGUAGUUGCGAAGAAAGGAAGAAAACGGGAGCACAAAACGAAACAGAGAGAGGACACGGAGGAAAAGUAGAAGGAUUUGGGCUGGCACCUUCUUUGGAUCUUCGGAUCGAAAUCUUUGAAAGGUCAGCUUGUUACUCUUCGAGAUGUUUGAUUUGGGCUGAGGCAGUGGAUAGCUAUUCAGAAUGAUGGGCAAGUCUGGUUGGUUAUUACGAUAUUGUUGUAUAAGUAUGUUUUGUAUGUAAUGAAAUGUUGUCGAUGAACCGAAAUGGAUAUACUGUGUCAAAGUGUUAGGAGAUAUCUCUUAUUUGGAAUUUCUGAAUGUUAAGCCUAAUUUAUAAUGAUAUGAACUUGUGGUGAAUAGUUAGAGUUCUGAUUGUAUAAAUUAUUUAGCUUGUGGAUUUAUAAAUAUUGUUCAUGUUUGUCAAGUUGGCUUGGGUUGCCAUAAAUGUGAAUUAUUGAGUGAUGUGAUAUAUGAUUAUAAACUGCACAGGUUUUAUGGAUGUGAAUAUGAAUAGAAUGUUUUUCAAUGUCCUCAAACGUUAGUUUGGAUCCUGGAUUGGUCUGUGAUGAAAAAUUUUAAAAAUCAUGGAUAUUUUGAGGGGCGUGACAGAGGUGGUAUCAGAGCAUUGUUUGAGGAUUACUGAAAUAUUUGAUAUGUUGACGUGCAAAAUAUAUUGAGGUCUAAUGAACUAUAGUGAUUGGUGGAAAUUUUCUUUGAUGUAUUUUAGGAAUCUGGGAUGAUGAGGAUAUUUGGUCCUCCUAUUUCAUUGUUUCUUAUUAAUUAAGGGGAAUGAAAGGAUUGAUUGGGGAUAUUGAAUCAGAGUGGCGCAGCGGAAGCAUGGUGGACCUAACUUCAUUGGUGGUAGAAAAAUGAAUGAUGCAAACAGAGAAGAUAUUUGAUGUACAAAAUUGUUUUGAUGAUCAAAAGAUUUCUUUUGCCACGUUAUAUUAGAAGUAAAGACUUAUUAUUGACGGCAACAAUGAAAAGAAUUUUUGAAGAUCAAUGGCAAGAAUGACAAGAACAAGUUUACCAAUAAAAAUAUGAUUGGAAAUGAAUCAAUAAGUAACAACAAGAGAGUCAAGACAUUUUGAUUUGAAAUGGGAAGUCACCACAAAAGACUCAAUCAGGUGUGAAUUGCAAGUUAAAUUAUGAAACAAGUUUAUGUUUGUGCGUGACUAGAGCCUAUUUUGCUUAUGGAAAGUUUGAUCAUAAAAUAAAAGUUUGCCCUUUGAACAAGAAGAAAGAGUCACUGCCUCCUAAAUCAUCAGCCCAUGUCAGAGUGUAUGCUAUCACUGAAUAUGAUUCUAAGACUUCUGAAUUAGUGGUCGAAGGUAUUAUGUAUGUUUAUGAAAGAAUGCAAAUAUUUGUUUGAACAUGGGUUCUAUCUACGAUUUGAUUCGUAACAUAUUGCCUAUCACUUGGGUAUUCAACCUAGACCACUGUAUUAUGUGAUAUAUGUAAGUACAAUCAUUGGAGAUUCUUUGAUAAUGAACUUGAAUCUGGUCCUCUUGUCUGAUUUUUGUUGGAGAACUUGAACUUUUGCUGAUUUAGUUCUCCUAGAGAUUUGGAGUUAUGAUAUUAUACUUGGUAUGCAUUGGCUAUCUUCUUAUCAUACCUGUAUGGAUUGGUAUAUAACAAAUGAUCACUUUUUGCAUAUUUGAUCAGCCGAUCUUUUAUUUUGAGAGUAUUGGACAUUAUUUAUCUCCUUGCCUAAUGUAUCCCAGGAUGACUUGUUUGGAUUACCUCCAAAUGUGAUUUUGCUUUUGAUUUGGUCCUUGGGACAAUCCUAAAAUCUAAGCCUCUCUACAGAAAGAUAUCAUUUGAGUAAGUGGAAUUAGAAAAGCAACUACAAGGAUUAUUAAAUGAGGAUUUUAUUUGGCUUAAUAUUUCAUCAUGGGGUGCUCCGGUGUUAGUUAAAAGAUGGAUGGAACAUUGAGGCUUUGUAUUGAUUAUAGAUAGUUGAAUUAGGUGACCAUCAAAAAACGAGUAUUUUCUAAAGUGACCACUUGUUUGAUUAACUGUAGGGUGCACAGGUAUUUUAAAAGAUUGUUUGAAGGUCGGGUUACCAUCUAUUGAGGAUCAAGGAGGAGAAUAUUUCGGUCACUCUUGGAAAAUUGUGUAAUUGUAUUGAAUUGAUGAAAUUAUUUAAGAGUAGGAGGAGGAAAUAAAGAAAUCAUAAUCCUCAUCUUUUCAUCGAUUGAGCUAUGACCAAUUUAGAGGACUAAAUUUUCUUUUAAGGGGGGGAGAGUGUAAAAUCCCCCACUUUUAAAAAUGUAUUAAUAAGGAUUUAUAUGUAAAUUGGGGGACCUAUAUGUAAAUAUAGAAAUUACAAGGACUAAACUGCUAAGUUGCAAAAAGAAAAAAAAAAGAAAAGGAAAAACCGAAAAUUCGGUAUUAUCCCACCGCCUCCCACGCACUCUGUUUCUUUCCAGAAAUAGAGAGAGCGGUGGGGCGUGAGGAGAAGAAGGAGAGUGGUUGAAGAAAAGAAGAAGAAGAGGGAAAAGAAGAGAGGAGGAAGAAGAGAGGAAGAAGAGAGGAAGAAGAGGGAGAAGAGAAGAAGAUGAAGAAGAAGAAGAAGAAGAAGAAGAAGAGAGGAUGAUAGCUGCGGCAAGGCUGCAGCGAGGAGGUGUGUGGGGUUGGGGAGGAAAAGGGAAGAGGAGAAGAAAAGAAGGAGAAGAAGAGGGAAAAGAGAGGGAAGAGGGAGAGGAGCGAGAGGCGGCAGCAGCUAGGGCUGCAGCACCUCUGUUUCCUGCAGGUGGAAACAGAGGAGAGGUGGGGCGUUCGAAGAGGAGAAGAAGAAGAAGAAGGAAGAGAAGAGGAAGAGGAAGCAGGAGAAGAGGUUGUGAUACCUCUGUUUCCUGCAGAGGAAACAGAGGAGAGGGUGUGUGUGACGUCGGGGAGAAGAAGGGGAGGAAGGAGAAGAAGAGAAGAAGAAGAAAGGAAGGAGAGGAAGAAGAGAAGGGAAAGGAGGAGCUGCGGCUGCGGCGGUGGCAGCUGCAGCUGGAAGAGAAGGAGAGGAAGAGAUGGUGAGGAAGAAGAGAAGAAGUAGAAGCGGGUGAAGAGGCGGCACCUCUGUUUCCUGCAGGAGGAAACAGAGGAAAGGAGGUGCUGUUCGUCGGGGAGAAGAAGGGGGCUGCAGCUGCGGCGAUGGCAGCUGCAGCUGGAAGAGAAGAAGAAGAGGAAGAUGAGCAGGGGAGGAGGGAGAGGUUGCGGCCAUGCCUGCGGCCGCGACUGCAGCAGUUGCAGCGGGGAGAGAAGAAGAAGAAAGGAAGGAGAAGGAAGAGGAGAAGGGAAAGAAGUAGCUGCGGCUGCGGUUGUGGCAGCUGCAGCUGUGGCAGGGAAAGAGGAAGAGAAAAAGGAAAGGAAGAAGAAGAGAAAGGGAAGGAGAGGAAGAAGAGAGGAAGAGGAGAAGGGGUGGCAGCUGCGGUAGUGGCAGCUGUAGCUGGAAGAGGAGGAGGAAAUAGAGCAGGGGAGGAAGAAGUGGCUGCGAGUGUGGUGGCUGCGGCCGUGGCUGCGACUCCGGCUGCGGCUGCGACGUUGGCUGCGGCAGCGGUGGUGGCUGCAGUAGCUGCAGUAGCUGCUUUUGGGAAAGAGAAAGAGUAGGAACGAGAGAAGGGAAGAAGGAAAUAGUGUAGUGGAUGGGGGCUGCGGUUGUGACCGCAGUUGCGAUUGUGGCAGCGGCGGCGGCUGUGGCAGCUGCGUUUGGGAAAGAAAAAGAAGGAAUGAGAGUAAGAGAGAGCAGGUGACUGUGCCUCGAUGUUCGACACGUGGUGUAGUUGCGAAGAAAGGAAGAAAACGGGAGCACAAAACGAAACAGAGAGAGGACACGGAGGAAAAGUAGAAGGAUUUGGGCUGGCACCUUCUUUGGAUCUUCGGAUCGAAAUCUUUGAAAGGUCAGCUUGUUACUCUUCGAGAUGUUUGAUUUGGGCUGAGGCAGUGGAUAGCUAUUCAGAAUGAUGGGCAAGUCUGGUUGGUUAUUACGAUAUUGUUGUAUAAGUAUGUUUUGUAUGUAAUGAAAUGUUGUCGAUGAACCGAAAUGGAUAUACUGUGUCAAAGUGUUAGGAGAUAUCUCUUAUUUGGAAUUUCUGAAUGUUAAGCCUAAUUUAUAAUGAUAUGAACUUGUGGUGAA